GCUGGGGCUCGUGGCCCAUUUAUAGACCCUGCUUCUGGGGAGGCUGAAGUUGCUGGAUCACUGAAGUUAGGGAGCUCUGACCUGCAGAAGGGCUAAAGCGAUCAGGUCUCCAUACUAAGUCCAGCACCAAUAUGGUGAGCCCCCGGGAGUGGAGGCAAUCAGGCUGCCCAAGGAGCAGGGAAUGCCUUGGUCCAGACAAUAAACAGAGAAGAUUAAAACUCCUGUGCUGAUCAGUAGUAGGACUGGGCCUUGAGCUGCACUUGCAGUCUGGGCAAGAUAAGGAGGAAAUGCAGUGUCU
rnacentral:SRP_RNA from 1 species